ensembl:lncRNA LINC00635 long intergenic non-protein coding RNA 635
AUAGCAACAGCAGCGUAGCUGAACAUCUUACGGAUGGCCCAGGGCUCCAAAGGCUCGUUUCCUAAGUGAGAGAGAGCCUGGCUGAAGCUGUAUUACCAUUCAUUCUCCAGCCUCCGAAGUCUCAAAGCAUCACUUCCACCAUACUCUAACUGUCAAGACAAACACAAAGGCCCAGAAACUGCCAGACUGUCUUCUGAAGUGGCUAUAAUAUUUACACUCCCAUCAGCAGUGUAGAAGGGGUCUCACUAUGUUGUCUGGAGUGCUGUGGUGGAGUGGAGUGGCUAUUCACAGCUGAGUUUGCAGAGUAAACCACUACCCUGAAAUCUGGAAAGGCAGGUGCACCCACAGAUCCUCAGCUGAGAUCCAAUUACCUGAAAUAGAAGCUGCCAUUAGGAACACUUAAAAGAGCCUGUUCUGCUGGGACACAGAAUCACUUGCUCCAUCUCAUACAUUGAUGAUGAUUAAUUUGUAUGUGUACCUUCCAAAAAAGAUGGUUGUGUUUGAAUGGAGGCCUUCUGGACAGGAAAAUAUGGAGAGUGCGUGCUUUGGAUUCAAGACUGGGAAUGAGGGGACCAGAAACCUAUUCUGUGGCUGUUUCUUGUUAGGACUUUCCUAAGCCUCUGGAAAAGACUAAUCUUUCCAAGUUCAUCUGAGGCUCCUCUUCUCCAUGACAACCUCAUCCAGGGAUUUCUUCCUGUCCUGGUGUUUUAUGACAUGUGGAAGGGGACUGUAGCAGGUGAUCUCCAAAGUCUCUGGAGACUUACUAAUGUGCAUCCUCAUCUCGCUUGUAAGGAUAAUAGCCUUCCUCCAAACCUCACACACUUUUGGAGGAGAUCACUUUUUUUAAAGUGCAUGGAAAUGUUUUGAAACAGUGAAAUCUAUAAUGAUAGGUUUCAUAAUUCUAACAUCCACACCAUAUGAAUCACAUCCUUCCUGAGAUAAUGAGCACACAAUUGCCUGGAUACCUGAAGGAAUGGAGACAGCGGCAGAAAACACUGCAGAGAGGUGGAAACAUCCGUUAAUAUUUUAAAAUCCCAUUACUGCUACCAACAAUAAUAAUGGAUGCAUAGAAAUAGAUCUGGAUUAGCUGAGCUUGAAACAGUCCAUCUCACACACACACAAAAGAAUUUCAGAUACAGUGAACCCACAUGUUGAAGCUUUCUAGUAUAAUAAAAAUUUCAACUGUUCUGUUGAAUCAUCUGCCUGAUUGGAGGCUACAGAAAAGAUGUCAUCUUAGGAGUGCUUGCUCUGAGUGAGGCUCAUCUUCAAAUCUGAAUGACCACAAGGAGAUUUGAUUAUACAUGUGAACACCUCAGAAGGCACAGCCCACCCAGAAGGCAGACAGGUCAGGCUGCUUUUUCUUCAUUGCUUGGAUUCAAUCCUCCGGGCGGCUCAGGCUCAAACAUAACUUAAGCAUGAUUAAACUUUAGAAGAAGCUGCCAGGAAGACUGUGAAAUCUUCAUGCCCAAGGAUCCCUAAAAUUAGGAGCAACAACCACUUGGCUCAGACGGUUUAUGGAGGCAAAGGUUUGGAUGGGAUUAGAGAUUUCUAAAUGUGAGUUCGUGUCCUCUGCCAGACCACCUUACUUCCACCAUUCCUCAGCAAAUCAAGAAAAACAGGAGAAAAGACAUGCCUUUCCAUAAGUUAAAUCUAUUCUGUUUUAAUUCUAUAUUAUAUCUGCUGUACAACUUCUUUUGUUUGUAACACCAUAUUGUUGCUAGUAACUGGAAAUUAAUUUUCACAUGCCUCAGCUUAGAAAAAUAAAAAGCAGCCCUGCAUCAA